rnacentral:lncRNA from 1 species
GUAUUAUAUUUUCUGGUCUGUGCUUCCAUUUUUCGUCCGUCUGUCCCGCUUCAGGUUAAAAAUUUGGAUUAAAGUUUUUGGUCAAGGUAGUUUUUGAUGAAGUUGAAUUCCUAUCAACUUAAAACUUAGUAGACAUGUUCCUUAUGGUAUGAUCCUUCUAAUUCAAUGUAAAUUUUACAAAAAUUGAGUAUCCAGAAGGUCAG